GUGCUCACUUCAGCAGCACAUAUGUUGAAAUUGGAACGAUGCAGAGAAGAUUAGCAUGGCCCCUGCACAAGGGUGACAUGCACAUUCCUGAGCCACUCUAUAUGUUU